rnacentral:lncRNA from 1 species
AAAGUCCUGCAGGUACAACUGAUGCACCCUGUAGCCCCGCUGUCCCUCCAGGAUGUCCCGGUGGGAUGGGAGCCGGCGCCACCCCGACCUGUGUUCCAGCCACCCGCCUGCAGCCCGGGCCCCAGUUCCGGGGCCUGUACCGAUCAUAUCCUCCUCCCGGUUCUCAAAGCUGAUCCUGGUGUUGUACUUCUCCAUCAGAGUCGAGGACUCCAGGGUGUCCCUCACCUUUGUGUCGCCCUGCAGGGCAAAGCCCCCUUCAGCCGUGCAGACACUCUGAACGGGAGCCUGUCAGCUUUGAGGGGACGUGGGCUGUGCAGGUUCCUCCCAGCCCGGGGCUACCUCCUCGGUCCUGGACACCAUCUGCACUCUGUCAGCCAGCAUGUCUGUCAUUUUCUUCUCAACGGACUUGAAGCUGCAGAAGGCAAUAGGGACACAGCAGUGAGGGGCACAGGCCCGAGAGCCAUGGUGGGCCACCCAGGAGCCCAGUCCUGAGUUGGGUGCUGUGCCAGAAUCAGGGACUCAGAAGCUCAGGUGUGUGCAAGUGGAGUCCCCUGGCCCCUCUGUGGGACACACAGGCUUGUUGGCAGUGGGUAUACUCCCAGCUCCCAGCCUGGCUGCAGCCCGGGGCCUUUGUGAGACUGGGGUGGGUGGCCCGCAGCCCCGGAAGCCCGGGGCACCUGAUGGAGCUAGGCUUCUGGCGGAACUUGAGCACGGCCUCCUCCAGCUCCAGCUGCUUCACCAGGGCCUUCAGCUGCACCCGCCACUCCUCACAGUCCUCCAUCUGCAGCUCCAGGUUCUCCUCCGUGUUCCUCUGGGCCAGGAAGCGGCUAGUGAUGUCCUGGCCAGUCCGGGGGAGAGAGAAGCAGAGUGCCUCAGACCCCAGCCCAGCUCAGCCACCCUCCUGCCAUGCUCCGGGAGUGCCAGGGAGCAUUACCCAGACGUGAGAGGCUCAGCCACCCUCCUGCCAUUCUCUGGGAGCGCCAGGGGCAUUACCCAGACGUGAGAGCACCGUACAGCACUCUUGACCUUCUCCACCACAGCAGUCACGCCCGACUGGUAUUCCAUUUCUGCUGUGGAGGUCUCUUUUCUCCUCACUGGCAGAGCAGAGGGGAGGGGCAGUCAGCAUGCAGGGAUGGCUCAGGGGCUCUGUGUAAGGCUGUCAGACACCUCUGUACCUGCCCAGCUGCUGGGGCGGCCACCCAAGACACAGGCAUCCUUCAGAGAUGCCUGCCCCCGCCCCAACCUGCUCCCUCCUCAGCCCAGCCCUGCAGGGACGCCCCAGGCAGCCCCAGAGCAGAGGUGGACCCGGAGUGAGUGGCGCAGCACUGUGAGCACUGUGGGCCCGGUGGUGCUUCUCAGAGGCAGCUUAGGGGUCAGGAUGCUCAUCCUCUGCAGAGUCACUGGGGACUGGGCCCUUGGUGCAGGGCCCUUGGGUGCUGGGGCCAGCAUCUCUGAGGCCACAUUUGGCUACAGGCUCUCAGCCUCUGGAGGGAGAGGCAGGGACCUGUCCUUCCCUUCACCCUGGCGACCACAUGUCACACCUGGCCUCAGGGUGACUUGAUCCGUUGGCCUGAAUCAGUGCCAGCCUCUCCUUGGGACCCUGGCUGGGGGCAGGUGGGGAGCUGAGCGCUUACAUUUCAGGGUCUCCGUGCUCAUCAGGUUCGAGGGGAAGUCCAAGUCCAUCUGGCCCUGAUGGGAGGUGGGGGCGGGGAAGGGAUGAGACAUCCUUGGCAGGGAGUGGGCCCUGAGUGGUGGCCCUGAGCCUGUGUCCACCCAGCUGUCAUGGGGAUGGGCAGCCAGCCAGGCCCUGGCCUGGGGCUUACCCGGCGGUACUUCUCGCUGGUCUCCUUCGUGUGGAUCUUGUCGAUCAGCUUCUUCUGCUGGUUGAGCCGGUUCUCCCUUGCCCGGCGCUCCUCGAUGAAGGACGCCUCCCUUUGCCUCAUGUUCCUCUGGGGACAUGCGGGUGGGCACAGGGUUGGGGAGCUGUCUCAACAAGGCCCCUAAUGGCAGUAAAGCCAGCGGGCGGUUGGCCAUGCUCACCUUACUAGACUUUGGAACUGCAUCCCCGGCCAAUGGCCACACCCUUUUCCUAAACCACUUGUGCCCGUGGCCCCUCAGCUCACGGCCCUCCUUGCCCAUGCCUCAGAGCAUGUGCCAGCCCAGACGCUCUGCUGCCCUCCAGCCGCUGGCCCCCAGCUGCCUCCUGGCCAGGUCCACCUAGAACUCACGGAAGUGCAUUCAGCCUGCCUGAAGACAGAUUCAUCCUCUUCCCCAAAACCUGGCCUCUUCCAGCGUGCCCUUGGGCAGCUAAAACCGUCAUCUGCUAACCCCUGCUCACGCACCCCAGACACUGCUCUCACCCUCGCCACUCUCGUUGCCAGCGCUUAGUGGGGUUGCCUCUUGAGGAGUUCUCAGCUCCGUUGCUCCUGGCCACCCCUUCUCCACCCCGGGUAUACCCAGGUGAUCAGCGCUUCUGCCCUGGCACCUUCCAGUCCCUGCAGCCUGAGUACACCCUUUCUGAAGCACAGACCUGGUCACAUCUUUCCUCCACCUCCUCCCAGGGCUCCAGGUCAGUCCUUGGGCCCCCAGCCCAGCCGCCUCCGUGGACUCCUGGGGCCUGUGCCUCUGCAGCCUCCACUGCCCUGGCCACACGCUGCUCCAUGUAUCACACCCCUCCCAGCCCAGGGCCUUUUCCCAAGUUGUACCUCCUCCUCCCUAGCCCUGGCCACACCUGACCUUUGCGGGUUCAAUCCCUCAGCCCAGCUCAAGCACUGUCUUCCUGGAAAGCCAUCUGCCACCCCACCUGUCUCUGCUGAGCUGGCUCAGGGGCUGUGUGGCAUUUCUUCAUGGACUACUGGAUGAGUGCCACCCACUUCAGGAGGACAGGGUCUGCCUGUCCCGGUCCCUGCUGUAUCCCCAGAGCCUUGCAGGGACCUUGGCACAGACUGGGUGAAUAGGUGACCCCCGCCCUGGCCCGGCCAGUUCUCUCCCUCUCCUCUACUUCAUGGCUCCUGUGCUGGAUGGGACCUGCUCUGUCCAGUGGGUGAGCAGAGCAGGCUGGCCGGGCUGGCCACUGGAUCCUUCUGGGGAUUGUAGGCAGUGUGGGCAUGGGGGUCUCCUGAGAGACCCUGGCCAGAAGACACAAGAGAGCCCGCCCUGGGGGGCCCCAGCCCUGGGCCCUGAGCUCACCUUGACCCCAUCCGAAGAUCCAAGAGGGCUGGCCCUGGGGGGCCCCCAGCCCUGGGCCCUGAGCUCACCUUGACCCCAUCCGAAGAUCCAAGAGGGCUGGCCCUGGGGGGCCCCAGCCCUGGGCCCUGAGCUCACCUUGACCCCAUCCGAAGAUCCAAGAGGGCUGGCCCUGGGGGGCCCCCGGCCCUGGGCCCUGAGCUCACCUUGACCCCAUCCGAAGAUCCAAGAGGGCUGGCCCUGGGGGGCCCCCAGCCCUGGGCCCUGAGCUCACCUUGACCCCAUCCGAAGAUCCAAGAGGGCUGGCCCUGGGGGGCCCCCGGCCCUGGGCCCUGAGCUCACCUUGACCCCAUCCGAAGAUCCAAGAGGGCUGGCCCUGGGGGGCCCCCAGCCCUGGGCCCUGAGCUCACCUUGACCCCAUCCGAAGAUCCAAGAGGGCUGGCCCUGGGGGGCCCCCAGCCCUGGGCCCUGAGCUCACCUUGACCUCAUCCGUGAUCAUCAUGGCAUCUUGGGACAUGAUCUUCAUAUCCGACAGCUCUGAGCAGUAGUUGACCACGAGGUUCUGCAGCUUGUCCAGCUCAAUGGGGUAUCCUGCCAGCACCUGUGUUGAAUGGGGUUCUCUUGUGGCCCCUACAGAGUGGGCUGCAGUUGCCCCGAGCUUUUAUCCCCCGACUAAGAGCCCUGAGAACAGUGAUAGGUUCUCCUCUGUGGCCCCAGCCACCUCCCCCACUCCCCGCUGGGCACAACGGUGAUGAAAGGUGUUUCACAGGGAGUGGACAGUGCUGGCCUGGUGGACUCUUUCACCACCUAGGGUCCAACAACCCAGAGAGACUGAGAGAGUUUGUGAUGAAAUGCUCUGCAGAAAAGGCUGACUGAAACCCGGGGAGGUUUGGGGACAGUUCUGCUUUGAAGUGAAACAGAGGGGCUCAAGACAUGGGCUUGGGGUCAGAGAGUCAGGAUUCAAGGCCAAGGCAGCUUCUGACCAGCUAGUUUAGCUGUGUGACAUUGGGAAAGUUACUUAAUCUCUCUGUGUCCCCAUUUGUAAGAUGAUGGCUCGUUCAGAAGGUUGCCAUCAGGAUGAAUUGAGUGUAAAAGGAAUUAUUUAGCCCAGAACCAGGUACAUACGUGCUCAGGAUAGCUUUGCUAUAGUGGUUUGUUUUUUGUAACUACAAGUAUAGGCCAGGUGCGGUGGCUCACGCCUGUAAUCCCAACACUGGGAGGCCGGAGGCAGGCAGAUCAUGAGGUCAGGAGUUAGAGACCAGCCUGGCCAACAUAGUGAAACCCUGUCUCUACUAAAAAUACAAAAAAAAUCAGCCGGGCGUGGUAGUGGGCGCCUGUAAUUCUAGCUAUUCGGGAGGCUGAGGCAGGAGAAUCGCUUGAACCCGGGAGGCGGAGGUUGCAGUGAGCCGAGAUCUCACCACUGCACACCAGCUGGGGCAACAGUGUGAAACUCCAUCUCAAAAAACAAAACAAACAAAAACAAAACUAGAAGUGUAGAAUCUUCAUUUUUAAAAAUAUGGAUGACUAUGGGAAUUAUUGCUUGUUUUUUCCUUUGUUCUGAGACUGAAUCUCACUCUAUCACCCAGGCUGGAGUGCGAUGGUACGAUCUCGGCUUGCAGCAACCUCUGCCUUCUGGGUUCAGGUGAUUCUCGUGCCUCAGCCUCCCGAGUAGCUGGGAUUACAGGCAUGCACCACCAUGCCAGGCUACUUUUUGUAUUUUUAGUAGAGAUGAAGUUUCACCAUGUUGGCCAGGCUGGUCUAGAACUCCUGACCUCAAGUGAUCCGCCUGCCUUGGCCUCCCAAAGUGCUGGGAUUACAGGCAUGAGCCACCAUGCCCAGGCCGGGAAUAAUUGUUUUUUAAGUGUGUAUGUUCUAAACAGAAGAAGGCGCUACCAGAGGAACAGAAAGCACCCAGGCGAAGGAGGGGCAUGGACAGGGGUGGGGAGAGGGGUGGGCCCAGGAAGCAUAGAGGGGCAGGGCUUCCAGGUGAGCCAAUAGGACCAGGGGCCAAGGCAAGAGGGACAAGCAGAGGACGGUGCUGAGAGCCACCUGGGCUGGGACCACAGCAGGAAAAGAGCUGCGAUGCAGCCUCCGUCCACCACUCCUCCUAAACUGCACUUCCAUGCUGUCACCUUCCCGAAGCAUGGCUCUCCAGAGCUCCCCUUUGCCCAGUCUUAGGGUGAGGGUGUUUCCAGCUGGCUCCCCGCCCCAUCCACAGGUUGCUCCUCUUAGCACCUCCUGUGCUCUCCCUAUCUACAGCCCAUCUGGAGUAGGUUCUGCUUUGUGGCAGCCCGAGGGGCGGUGCUCAGCCUCCCAUGAAGGGGGUCUUCCCUCACAAUCGGACUGCUGGCUGCCUUUGGCCUCGUCUGCAGGGAGCAGGGCGGGUGGGCUGGCUGGGACGGCAGCAAGCCCUGCUUACAGGCCCAGCGGACCCUCAAAGGUGCAAGGACUUUCUGAGGGUGCAGGACCUGUCUGACUCUCAGAGGCCCAGGCAAUGAGAAAAUGACAGGCAAGAUACAAACAAUACCAAAUCAUUUAAUACGUGCAAGAAAGUCCGAAGAAUUCUGAUAUACCCCACGAUAUGCUUUUUUGGAAUAGCCAAAAAUGAAGUUUAAAAAAACGUUUUCCACAUGCCUCGGCGUCCUGCGUAGCCGGUGGUCAGGCAGAGCUCCCUCUCCCUGGCGGGUGCGGGGCGGCUCCGCCCCAGGACGCUCCCGCCCCUCCCAGAUCCCAGCCCCUGACCCCCGCCCUUCCCGGGCCGCUGGGCUCACUGUCUUCAGAUAAUCCAGCAGGUCCAAAUACAGCAGGUGGAUGUUCUGGCUGGUGAUGAUCUUGAUCAUUGUCUUCUCGAUGUUGUUCUCCAGCUGGCGGAUGAUCUGGGGCGGACCGAGGGCGCAGUGAGAGGGCGUGGGGACCGGCCGCCCGGAGGGUGUCGGGGCUGGGUUUUCUCCGGAGA